GUGGGGAAUCUUGCGCAAUGGACGAAAGUCUGACGCAGCAACGCCGCGUGAGUGAUGAAGGUCUUCGGAUCGUAAAGCUCUGUCGGCAGGAACGAUGGGGUCGUUGGCUAAUAUCCAGCGAUCUUGACGGUACCUGCAAAGGAAGCACCGGCUAACUCUGUGCCAGCAGCCGCGGUAAGACAGAGGGUGCAAGCGUUAAUCGGAAUUACUGGGCGUAAAGCGUGCGUAGAUGGUUCAUUAAGUCGGAUGUGAAAGCCCCGGGCUCAACCUGGGAACUGCAUCCGAUACUGGUGGACUAGAGUGCGGUAGAGGAUGGCGGAAUUCCCGGUGUAGCGGUGAAAUGCGUAGAGAUCGGGAGGAACAUCCGUGGCGAAGGCGGCCAUCUGGACCAGCACUGACGUUGAGGCACGAAAGCGUGGGGAGCAAA
rnacentral:rRNA from 1 species